AUGAGGCCCAGCCAGAGCCGCCACCGGUGCUUGCUCGCUUUUUUUGUCUCGGCUGCUUCUCACGGCCUCGGCCGUCGCCGACAGCACCUUGACGCAGCGGACGGCCUCUUCUCCGUCGCCAACAACACCAAGUGGUUUCUCGGCAUAUGGCUCACCGCCUCCCCGGGCGCCGUCGUCUGGGUCGCCAACCGUGACCGCCCGCUCAACGCCUCAUCCUCCGGCGUAGUCGUGCUCAGCAGCCGAGGGGACCUCGUGCUCCUCGACGCCGCCAGUGGUAACGAAACCAUCUGGUCCUCGUCCAGCUCCUCGGCGGCGUCGGUGGCGCAGCUCCACGACGACGGCAACCUGGUGCUCGCGGACGCGGCCGGCGUCGCGGUGUGGCAAAGCUUCGACCACCCGACCAGCACGUUCGCCUCGUCGUGGCGCAGCGCCGACGACCCGUCGCCCGGCGACUUCCGGUACGUGAUGGACACGCGGGGCUCGCCGGAGCUGCACGUCUGGAGGAACGGACGCAAGAGGUACCGGACGGGCCCGUGGAACGGGCUGCGGUUCAGCGGCUGCCCGGACAUGACCACCUUCGAGGAUCUGGUGGAGUUCCGGUUCACCCACACCGCCGACGAGGUCUCCUUCGUGUACAGCGACCGCGUCGGCUCGCCGGUGUCCCGGCUGGUCCUGAACGAGUCCGGCGCGAUGCAAAGCAUGGUCUGGGACCGCGCGGCGCUCGUGUGGAGGGUCUUCAGGUCGGGGCCGAGGGACCAGUGCGACUUCUACGGCGCGUGCGGCCCGUUCGGUGUGUGCAACGCGGUCGGCGCCGUGAUGUGCGGCUGCAUCAGGGGGUUCAUCCCGAGUUCGCCGGCGGAGUGGCGCAUGCGAAACGCGUCCGGCGGGUGCGCCCGCAGCACGGUGCUGCAGUGCAGUGGCGGCGACGGGUUCUAUACCCUGCGCGGCGUGAAACUGCCGGAGACGCACGGCAGCAGCGUGGACGCCGGCGCAUCGCUCUUGGAGUGCGGCCGGAGGUGCUCGUCCAACUGCUCCUGCACGGCGUACGCCGCGUCGGACAUCCGUACGUGGGGGCGGGACCGGGUGCAUACAAUGGUUCGGCGAGCUCAUGGACACGCGCUUCGUCGACCACGGCCAGGAUCUAUUCAUCAGGCUGGCAAUGUCUGA
rnacentral:rRNA from 1 species